GUUCAGGAGAACCUGCUCCUGUGCUCUGGCCUACAGAGAUUUUUACAAUUAAUCCUUUUGAAAGAAGAUUUACCUCACAUGAAAGUCACCAGCCUAGGAAACGCCUAAACACUCCAGAGAGUGAGGUCACUUCAGUUUGAUCCUCAUCAUUCACAGAGGAAUCCGCCCAAAAAAUUAAUCACAGUUCUCAGGUGACGUUCGGAGAAUGGAAAUAGAUUGCACGGUUGGCUUCACUUUGAAUCUGCCAGGGGGAAAAGGUUUACACGCUCUAAAGGAUGCUGUAUUACGGAGCAUUGCUUUUAGUGGAGAAUAAACCUAUAAAACAGCGCAGCAAGGAACACCAUUUAGUG